CAGUAGCCGCGGUAACACGUAGGUCCCGAGCGUUGUCCGGAUUUAUUGGGCGUAAAGCGAGCGCAGGCGGUUUGAUAAGUCUGAAGUUAAAGGCUGUGGCUCAACCAUAGUUCGCUUUGGAAACUGUCAAACUUGAGUGCAGAAGGGGAGAGUGGAAUUCCAUGUGUAGCGGUGAAAUGCGUAGAUAUAUGGAGGAACACCGGUGGCGAAAGCGGCUCUCUGGUCUGUAACUGACGCUGAGGCUCGAAAGCGUGGGGAGCGAACAGGAUAAGAUACCCCCGUAGUCCCUGUCUCUUAUACA
rnacentral:rRNA from 1 species